UACGGAGGAUCCGAGCGUUAUCCGGAUUUAUUGGGUUUAAAGGGUGCGUAGGCGGCCUGUUAAGUCAGGGGUGAAAGACGGUAGCUCAACUAUCGCAGUGCCUUUGAUACUGAUGGGCUUGAGUGCAGAUGAGGUAGGCGGAAUGUGACAAGUAGCGGUGAAAUGCAUAGAUAUGUCACAGAACACCGAUUGCGAAGGCAGCUUACUAAGCUGUAAUUGACGCUGAGGCACGAAAGCGUGGGGAUCAAACAGG
rnacentral:rRNA from 1 species